UCUCCUGCUCUGGACAGUUCCUGACAUGGACACAGGUGUCAGCAGAGUGCACUGUGGUCAGAUAGAAAAGAACUACUCAGCUUUCGCUGGAGCAUACAGCAGCUAAUCAGUACUGGAAGGAUUAAGAUUUCUUAAUGGAAGUAAUUUACAAAGCUGUUUAACUUUCUGGCACCAGUUCAUUAAAAUAAAAAAAGGUUUCCACCGGAACACACCUUUAAAAGGAGAUGGCAACCACUUAGAGCUCCGCUGGUCUAUAGUAAGUAUAUAAAAGCAGUCUCCAAACUGCAGAUCUCCAGCUGUUGCAAAACUACAACUCCCAGCAUGCCCUGACAGCCAACGGCUGUCAGGGCAUGCUGAGAGUUGUAGUUUUGCAACAGUUGGAGGUCCACAGUUUGGAGAUCACUGGUUUAGACAACAAGGCCUGUAAACCUAGUUGAGGCCUAUGUAAACAUUAGACAAAACCAGGCCCACAUGGGGCUAUACACUUGAUAUAGCCACAAAAAGGGUCUCUAGUAAUUAGUGGUUUAUAUCAGGAAAAACCAGCGCUCACAGGGUCUCAAACGGACGCUAGCCAUGGAAAGCGGAGCAGUGUCCAUAGCAACCCCAUCAGAGUUAGAGUUUCCUUGCGGCCAUUUUUAACUGGAAGAUGACAAGUGUGCAGCAAUAUGUCCAGAGAACAUCAGCAGAACUGUUCCACUCCGUGAUCAUAUCUUCUACCCGGGAUACAUAAAGUAGUGAUAGAAGGACUCCAAGGAACUAGAAGAAAAGUUCAAACUCUGAUGGACUUUAGGCUCCAACACGAUCAUGGGGCCCAGCAACAACCAAGCCCUUGAGGUCCACCAGUAGAGAAUGGCGCCUGAAGGAGACAGUGGGGAGAUCCAUGGUCUGGUAUAAAAGAGAAACACUCUUAUUGAUCUGUGGAUGGAUGAGGUGCUCCCCUAUAAAAGGCAUUACUAAAGACCAGAAGCAGUGGGCUGGUGCCAAGGGUAAGAGGACUGGUAUGGCAGAGCAGAAUGGUCUAGGAAUGCUGAACAAAGAAAUACGUGCCCUCCAGCCAUAUAGGUGACACCUUUAGAUUGCCAGAAGAGACUGGAGAUAUUAUUGCGGACACCACAACCAGUCCUGGCAUCAAAAGGCGCAUAUUGCUGAACAUAGU